AAAUCUCUUUCUCAGAAGAAGAAGAUUGCUCCUCUGUGAUUACAAGUGAGAGCAAAGAAAGGUCAUCUCCAGAUGAUGAUAGUGCUUCAUUGUGGUCCAUUCAGGUCAAUGCGAGCACACGUGAUGAAGAAGAGGAUGAAGAAGAAGAAGAAGAAGAAGAAGAGUAUAAUCUGAAGGGAGUUGAUGAAACCGAGGAAGAGGAAGAGUAUAAUCUGAAGGGAGUUGAUGAAACCGAGGAAGAGGAAGAGAAUGAAGAGGAUGCAGGAUAUGAUGUUGAUGAGCUCUGUGAAGGUAUAAGCAAGAUUUUUGUGGAUGAGAAGAGAAUGAUUCCCAAGUUUGAAGGAAAGCGCACAAAGUUUGUGUACAACAGUGAUGAUGAAAUUGUUGAAGAAGUUGUA
rnacentral:lncRNA from 1 species